AGGACAACCCUCCUGGAAUUAUCAUCUCCGGUUAGAGUUGAGACACCUUCAUUCAUUUCAGCAACUUUAAGGAAUUUACCCAUGGUCAAACAGAAGUCCCUGUCAGAGCCAGCAUUUGACUGCAAAAUCAGCUGGCAGGCAGGCAGCACUGUCCCUCUGCAGAGUGGCACCUACAAAGUCCUCAGUCCCUCGUUUCCACCGCAACCCAGUGCUAGCUCCCUCUCUGAGCACCUGAAAUUACCUUUGCUAAUCAGGACUUUGCAGUUAGGCGUAUUUUUGUAAGACUCCUGUUAGAAUGAAAAUAUGUUACCUGGAAAGAGAAGCAUGUUGGGCGAAUGGUUUCUGACCUCCUAUAGAGUUGGCAAAAUUGUGUGUGUGUACGCAUGAGUGUGUGAUCUGAAGGGCCCAGGUGCCCAAAUACCAUUAGAGACUAACUCCUUUGUCUCCAUCUGCUGAAUCUGCGUGCUGAAUGGGGUGUGUGUGUAGAGGAACUUUCCUAGAAAAAAUAAGGAUGGAAGCCUGGAAUCAGGGAGGGCAGCCUGAUGAUGGGUCACCAUGGGGAAGCUCUUUCAUGAGUGCCCUGGAAGGCAGCACAGGAAAUAACAUGUUAGGAUGGGAGGAGGAUUCCAGAGAAGCAGGCUUUAGGUUGGGUGGUCCACUUGCAUUGCUUUGUCUCCAGGAAAGUUGCUUUCCCCUAACCUGCGACCUGGCUUUCCUUCCCUGUGAAGAGAGGGGUGGAACUAGAGGCUUAUACCCUGCUCCAAGACCCUGCAGCCCAACAAAAGGCCCAUUUUCCCUUUGUUAGUUACUCGAAUGCCAGAGAGAAGGGCUCCCUCUUUUCAUGCUUCCCCAGUCCAGCUGGGGCAGAAUCAUGAGGGCUGCAGAGGACGCUGCUGGGACAAGACCUCCUCUAGGGGGGUCC
rnacentral:lncRNA from 10 species